rnacentral:rRNA from 1 species
UACAGAGGUAGCAAGCGUUGUUCGGAAUUACUGGGCGUAAAGGGCGCGUAGGCGGUCUUGUAAGUCCUGUGUGAAAUCCCUCGGCUCAACUGAGGAACUGCACGGGAAACUGCUUGGCUUGAGUUCGGGAGAGGGAAGCGGAAUUCCGGGUGUAGCGGUGAAAUGCGUAGAUAUCCGGAGGAACACCGGUGGCGAAGGCGGCUUCCUGGACCGACACUGACGCUGAGGCGCGAAAGCUAGGGGAGCAAACGGG